UUCUAGCCCCGAUAGCAGUGAAAAUCCUUUUAUUUUUUUUCUUCAAAAAAUAAAAGAUUGCAACGUAUAGCGGGAAGAAGC
rnacentral:sRNA from 1 species